GUAGGGGAUAACACUUGGAAACAGGUGCUAAUACCGUAUAACAACCAAAACCACCUGGUUUUGGUUUAAAAGAUGGCUUCGGCUAUCACUUUAGGAUGGACCCGCGGCGUAUUAGCUUGUUGGUAAGGUAACGGCCUACCAAGGCAAUGAUACGUAGCCGACCUGAGAGGGUAAUCGGCCACAUUGGGACUGAGACACGGCCCAAACUCCUACGGGAGGCAGCAGUAGGGAAUCUUCCACAAUGGACGCAAGUCUGAUGGAGCAACGCCGCGUGAGUGAAGAAGGCUUUCGGGUCGUAAAACUCUGUUGUUGGAGAAGAAUGGUCGGCAGAGUAACUGUUGUCGGCGUGACGGUAUCCAACCAGAAAGCCACGGCUAACUACGUGCCAGCAGCCGCGGUAAUACGUAGGUGGCAAGCGUUAUCCGGAUUUAUUGGGCGUAAAGCGAGCGCAGGCGGUUUUUUAAGUCUGAUGUGAAAGCCCUCGGCUUAACCGAGGAAGCGCAUCGGAAACUGGGAAACUUGAGUGCACAAGAGGACAGUGGAACU
rnacentral:rRNA from 1 species